rnacentral:rRNA from 1 species
AGUGAACGCUGGCGGUAGGCCUAACACAUGCAAGUCGAACGGCAGCACAGUAAGAGCUUGCUCUUACGGGUGGCGAGUGGCGGACGGGUGCGGAAUACAUCGGAAUCUACUUUUUCGUGGGGGAUAACGUAGGGAAACUUACGCUAAUACCGCAUACGAACUACGGGUGAAAGCAGGGGAUCUUCGGACCUUGCGCGAUUGAAUGAGCCGAUGUCGGAUUAGCUAGUUGGCGGGGUAAAGGCCCACCAAGGCGACGAUCCGUAACUGGUCUGAGAGGAUGAUCAGCCACACUGGAACUGAGACACGGUCCAGACUCCUACGGGAGGCAGCAGUGGGGAAUAUUGGACAAUGGGCGCAAGCCUGAUCCAGCCAUACCGCGUGGGUGAAGAAGGCCUUCGGGUUGUAAAGCCCUUUUGUUGGGAAAGAAAAGCAGCAGGUUAAUACCCCGCUGUUCUGACGGUACCCAAAGAAUAAGCACCGGCUAACUUCGUG